AUUGAACGCUGGCGGCAUGCUUUACACAUGCAAGUCGAACGGUAACAGGCCGCAGGGUGCUGACGAGUGGCGAACGGGUGAGUAAUGCAUCGGAACGUGCCCAGUCGUGGGGGAUAACUCAUCGAAAGAGUAGCUAAUACCGCAUACGAUCUGUGGAUGAAAGCGGGGGACCGUGAGGCAUUGUUUGGUCUGGUGGGCUGGGAUCGGCUGAUGUAGGAUUAGGUAGUUGGUGGGGUAAAGCCCAACCAAGGCAACGAUCGGUAGCUGGUCUGAGAGGACGACCAGCCACACUGGGACUGAGACACGGCCCAGACUCCUACGGGAGGCAGCAGUGGGGAAUUUUGGACAAUGGGCGCAAGCCUGAUCCAGCAAUGCCGCGUGCAGGAAGAAGGCCUUCGGGUUGUAAACUGCUUUUGUAAGGAACGAAACGGUUUCGGCUAAUACCCGGCGCUAAUGACGGUACCGUAAGAAUAAGCACCGGCUAACUACGUG
rnacentral:rRNA from 1 species